rnacentral:rRNA from 1 species
UACGUAGGGCGCAAGCGUUGUCCGGAAUUAUUGGGCGUAAAGAGCUCGUAGGCGGUUUGUCGCGUCUGCUGUGAAAACCUAAGGCUCAACCUUGGGCUUGCAGUGGGUACGGGGCAGACUAGAGUGCGGUAGGGGUGACUGGAAUUCCUGGUGUAGCGGUGGAAUGAGCGACAGACUAUCGAGGAGGAACACCGAGUGGCGAAGGCAGGUCACUGGGCCGCAACUGACGCUGGAGGAGCGAAAGCGUGGGGAGCGAACAGG